AGUGGCGCAAGGGUGCGUAACACGUGGGUAAUUUGCCGUGAAGUUGGGGAUAACUCGCUGAAAGGCAAGCUAAUACCGAAUGUGAAAAUUGGGAGGCAUCUUCUGAUUUUCAAAGUUGGGGACCGCAAGGCCUGACGCUUCACGAUAAGCCCGCGGCCUAUCAGCUAGUUGGUGAGGUAACGGCUCACCAAGGCUAAGACGGGUAGCUGGUCUGAGAGGACGACCAGUCACACUGGAACUGAGACACGGUCCAGACACCUACGGGUGGCAGUAGUCGAGAAUUUUUCUCAAUGGGCGAAAGCCUGAAGGAGCGACGCCGCGUGGGGGAUGAAGGGCUUCGGCUCGUAAACCCCUGUCAUUUGCGAACAAACCUUACGUUUUAAUAAAGCGUGAGCUGAUUGUAGCGAAAGAGGAAGGGACGGCUAACUCUGUGCCAGCAGCCGCGGUAAUACAGAGGUCCCAAGCGUUGUUCGGAUUCACUGGGCGUAAAGGGUGCGUAGGUGGCAGGGUAAGUUUGAUGUGAAAUCUCCGAGCUUAACUCGGAAACUGCAUUGAA
rnacentral:rRNA from 1 species